AAGACCUUGCGCUUUUGGAGCGGCCGAUGCCUGAUUAGCUUGUUGGUAAGGUAAAAGCUUACCAAGGCUUCGAUCAGUAGCUGGUCUGAGAGGACGGCCAGCCACACUGGGACUGAGACACGGCCCAGACUCCUACGGGAGGCAGCAGUGGGAAUUUUGGACAAUGGGGGCAACCCUGAUCCAGCCAUGCCGCGUGAGUGAAGAAGGCCUUCGGGUUGUAAAGCUCUUUCAGCCGGAACGAAACGGUUACGGUUAAUACCCGUGAUUACUGACGGUACCGGAAGAAGAAGCACCGGCUAACUACGUGCCAGCAGCCGCGGUAAUACGUAGGGUGCGAGCGUUAAUCGGAAUUACUGGGCGUAAAGCGUGCGCAGGUGGUUUUGUAAGUCAGAUGUGAAAGCCCCGGGCUCAACCUGGGAACU
rnacentral:rRNA from 1 species